ACGAUGAAGCCCNUUCGGGGUGGAUUAGUGGCGAACGGGUGAGUAACACGUGGGCAAUCUGCCCUUCACUCUGGGACAAGCCCUGGAAACGGGGUCUAAUACCGGAUAAUACUUUCCUCCUCCUGGAGGAAGGUUGAAAGCUCCGGCGGUGAAGGAUGAGCCCGCGGCCUAUCAGCUAGUUGGUGGGGUAAUGGCCUACCAAGGCGACGACGGGUAGCCGGCCUGAGAGGGCGACCGNCCACACUGGGACUGAGACACGNNCNAAAUUUAUACGGGAGGCAGCNGUGGGGAAUAUUGCACAAUGGGCGAAAGCCUGAUGCAGCGACGCCGCGUGAGGGAUGACGGCCUUCGGGUUGUAAACCUCUUUCAGCAGGGAAGAAGCGAAAGUGACGGUACCUGCAGAAGAAGCGCCGGCUAACUACGUGCCAGCAGCCGCGGUAAUACGUAGGGCGCAAGCNUUGUCCGGAAUUAUUGGGCGUAAAGAGCUCGUAGGCGGCUUGUCACGUCGGUUGUNAAAGCCCGGGGCUUAACCCCGGGUCUGCAGUCGAUACGGGCAGGCUAGAGUGUGGUAGGGGAGAUCGGAAUUCCUGGUGUAGCGGUGAAAUGCGCAGAUAUCAGGAGGAACACCGGUGGGCGAAGGCGGAUCUCUGGCCAUUACUGACGCUGAGGAGCGAAAGCGUGGGGAGCGAACAGGAUUAGAUACCCUGGUAGUCCACGCCGUAAACGUUGGGAACUAGGUGUUGGCGACAUUCCACGUCGUCGGUGCCGCAGCUAACGCAUUAAGUUCCCCGCCUGGGGAGUACGGCCGCAAGGCUAAAACUCAAAGGAAUUGACGGGGGCCCGCACAAGCAGCGGAGCAUGUGGCUUAAUUCGACGCAACGCGAAGAACCUUACCAAGGCUUGACAUACACCGGAAAGCAUCAGAGAUGGUGCCCCCCUUGUGGUCGGUGUACAGGUGGUGCAUGGCUGUCGUCAGCUCGUGUCGUGAGAUGUUGGGUUAAGUCCCGCAACGAGCGCAACCCUUGUUCUGUGUUGCCAGCAUGCCCUUCGGGGUGAUGGGGACUCACAGGAGACUGCCGGGGUCAACUCGGAGGAAGGUGGGGACGACGUCAAGUCAUCAUGCCCCUUAUGUCUUGGGCUGCACACGUGCUACAAUGGCNGGUACAAUGAGCUGCGAUGCCGCGAGGCGGAGCGAAUCUCAAAAAGCCGGUCUCAGUUCGGAUUGGGGUCUGCAACUCGACCCCAUGAAGUCGGAGUUGCUAGUAAUCGCAGAUCAGCAUUGCUGCGGUGAAUACGUUCCCGGGCCUUGUACACACCGCCCGUCACGUCACGAAAGUCGGUAACACCCGAAGCCGGUGUNCACANUCCCCUUGUGGGA
rnacentral:rRNA from 1 species